GACGAACCGUCCUAACGUUAUUCGGAAUCACUGGGCUUAAAGGGCGCGUAGGCGGAUCCGAAAGUCAGGGGUGAAAUCCCACGGCUCAACCGUGGAAGAGCCUUUGAUACUGCGGGUCUAGAGGGACAUAGGGGCGUGCGGAACUUCCGGUGGAGCGGUGAAAUGCGUAGAUAUCGGAAGGAACACCGGUGGCGAAAGCGGCACGCUGGAUGUCUACUGACGCUGAGGCGCGAAAGCCAGGGGAGCAAACGGG
rnacentral:rRNA from 1 species